rnacentral:rRNA from 1 species
AGCGAACGUUUGCGGCGGGCUUAACACAUGCAAGUCGAACGAGAAUCCCUUCGGGGAGGAAAGUGGCGCACGGGUGCGUAACACGUGGAUAACCAACCCAUUGGGUUUGGGACAACACCGGGAAACUGGUGCUAAUACCAGGAUGUGUCGCAGCUGUCUUCAGGCGGUUGCGGAGAAAGGGCCCGCAAGGGUCGCCAACGGACGGGUCCGCGUCCCAUCAGCUAGUUGGUGAGGUAAUGGGCUCACCAAGGCAAAGACGGGUAGCUGGUCUGAGAGGAUGAUCAGCCACACUGGAACUGAGACACGGUCCAGACUCCUACGGGAGGCAGCAGUGGGGAAUAUUGCGCAAUGGGCGAAAGCCUGACGCAGCCACG